GCGGGAAUAGCUCAGUUGGUAGAGCGCAACCUUGCCAAGGUUGAUGUCGCGAGUUCGAGUCUCGUUUCCCGCU
rnacentral:tRNA from 5 species